CUAAGACCUAAGCAACCAAAGAAGGGACCAGAAGCUUCAUCAACAACGGCGAUCUCUAACCUUGAGGACCCCUCUAAUCCAUUCCUACCUUUUCAUCUCAUAACCAACAACCCUUAUUCUUCUAUAGACACAACACAACCAUCGACGGGACCCCUCACCAGCCACACACGACCUCCCUCCAACCACCAACCAUCUCCCCAAUACACCCCAUCUCUUUCUUCCUCACGUCACAACAACCUAACACCUCCCCCGAAAACCACCCGCUGCUGGAAACUAGCAGAAGCGGCGUGAGAGAGCAGCAACGAACGAUCACAAAACAGGGAUAGAGAGUGACGAGAAAAGAAGGGAAAACAGGGGAUCAAAAACAAAAGAUAUUCUGUAGUUGCAGACUCAGAUUUUAGUUUUCUUAAAAUUACAAAAAAUAUAUAUAAAAAGAGUUUCUACUUCUUCAUUUUGAUUUCGGUUUUGGUAUUAAAAAUCAUGGUAUUUGCUUGAGGUUUAGAAGUCCGCUGAUUUUGGUUGCCGGUUUGAGGUUCGUUACGGUCGAGUUUGAGUUCGUCGAGGUCUCUACGUCCAAGGAUUUUUUCUGCCCGGGUUUCUAUUCAUACAACAUUGCUAAAUUGACAAAGCUCUCUUUGAGUGCUCUCAUUUUAUUAGUACAUUGGACUGAUGAAUUUGGAAUUAAGAUACAAGAUGCCUAAAGUAAUUUAUGGUUCAUGAGUUGAUAAGGGAAUGGAUUAAAGCUGAAACAAUGGUUUGGGUUAAAAAUGACAUUAAAGUAAAUGUUGGAAUGACGUUCUGGGUUUUACAUCGGAUGUGCUUGCCGUUCAAGUUUUGAAUUAUUUAUUUUACCAUGUCAUUUUAUUCAAUUGAGUCGUAACUUGAAUUACUAUUUGUUUAACACUAUUCCCUAAUAAUGUGGGAAUUAGAUUUGAGAAAUUUACAAAAAAUGAAGAUGUGAAUGGAUUUGGUGCUC